rnacentral:rRNA from 1 species
AGCUUCAGUAGCGUAUAUUAAAGUUGUUGCAGUUAAAAAGCUCGUAGUCGCAUUUCUGGCGAGAGGAUCCGGUCCGACCUUUUGGUGGGUUCUUGGGUCUCUUUCGCCAUCCUUGAGUGGUCCGUUCUGGCAUUAGGUUGUCGGAGCGUCAGCCGCUCAUCGUUUACUGUGAGAAAAUUAGAGUGUUCAAAGCAGGCUUAUGCCGUUGAAUAUAUUAGCAUGGAAUAAUAAGAUAGGACCUCGGUACUAUUUUGUGGGUUUGCGCGCCAAGGUAAUGAUGAACAGGGACAGUUGGGGGUAUUUGUAUUUCGUUGUCAGAGGUGAAAUUCUUAGAUUUACGAAAGACAAACUACUGCGAAAGCAUUUACCAAGGAUGUUUUCA